ensembl:lncRNA
AGUGGAGCUCAAGGUGCUGGAGCUUUUGUGUCAGAUCCUGCAGACUGAUUCUCUCUCGAUGGUUCAGCAGUGGCUUCUGUUGGCGAGUGACAGAGAGAAAGAGCUGGUUCAGGGGUUACUCCAGCAGGCCAUGACCGACUCCAGCUCUCUGACCCAGCAGACGUCUGGAUCUGAACUUCUACCUUUGUCGUCUGAAGAUCUGCCUGAUCACGUGUUCCUCAGUUCAUCUGUCAGCCAGAGGAAGAGCAUUUCACAUCCCGAAGAGACAUUACAGGACAAACCAGAGCGGAUCGGAGAGGCAGAAGUUCUCACGCUGUACCCAGAAAACACAUAAUGCCGCUGCUGUCACAAACAUUAGCUCGUUUAGCAGUUGUAUUAUUAUAAUCAUCAUAGUGCAAUGCAAUGUAAAUUUUUAAUUUCUUGUUAAUAAAGCAUACAAACAGGUAUUUUUCUUGAGCGUA